rnacentral:rRNA from 1 species
UACGGGGGGGGCAAGCGUUGUUCGGAAUUACUGGGCGUAAAGGGUUCGUAGGUGGCUUGCUAAGUCAGACGUGAAAUCCCUCAGCUUAACUGGGGAACUGCGUCUGAGACUGGCAAGCUUGAGUGCAGGAGAGGAACGCGGAAUUCCAGGUGUAGCGGUGAAAUGCGUAGAUAUCUGGAGGAACACCGGUGGCGAAGGCGGCGUUCUGGACUGCAACUGACACUGAUGAACGAAAGCCAGGGGAGCAAACGGG